rnacentral:rRNA from 1 species
AUGCACGCUGGCGGCGUGCUUAACACAUGCCAGUCGAACGAAGCACUUUAUUUGAUUUCCUUCGGGACUGAUUAUUUUGUGACUGAGUGGCGGACGGGUGAGUAACGCGUGGGUAACCUGCCUUGUACAGGGGGAUAACAGUUGGAAACGGCUGCUAAUACCGCAUCAGCGCACAGCAUCGCAUGAUGCAGUGUGAAAAACUCCGGUGGUAUAAGAUGGACCCGCGUUGGAUUAGCUAGUUGGUGAGGUAACGGCCCACCAAGGCGACGAUCCAUAGCCGACCUGAGAGGGUGACCGGCCACAUUGGGACUGAGACACGGCCCAAACUCCUACGGGAGGCAGCAGUGGGGAAUAUUGCACAAUGGGCGAAAGCCUGAUGCAGCGACGCCGCGUGAGCGAAGAAGUAUUUCGGUAUGUAAAGCUCUAUCAGCAGGGAAGAUAAUGACGGUACCUGACGAAGAAGCACCGGCUAAAUACGUG